ensembl:lncRNA
AGGUAUCUGCUUAUUUGUUUUAUUUUGGCACAAAGACUUUUUUUGAAUGAAAUAUUACAAAAACAUCUGACUUUGAAAGAAUCAAACUGAGCUGUUGUGGUCAAGGUAGGAAUAUGGAAAGAGAGUCCAGUCCUUGGACUUGCCCUUCUUAACUUCUACAAUUGGCCCACUAGGUUUCACAGGGAAACGAGGAACUAAGAAAUAGAUUUCAUCAAAUUCGGAGAUGGGAGGAAAUGAAAUCUUAGCAAAGAAAACAAGUUAUGCCUCUGAAAUGAAUUGUAUGAGCAAGAAGAUAUAUCAGAUUACUGCAGAUUUAAAUACAAGGACCACAUGGACUGUCUUGCAUCAGCAAAGCAUGAAAGAUCACAUUUGUCAAAAAAAAAAAGAAGGCGGCAAGAGGGCCAGAGAACUUAGGGAUUAAGGGU